UGGGGAAUAUUGCACAAUGGGGGAAACCCUGAUGCAGCGACGCCGCGUGAGCGAGGAAGUAUUUCGGUAUGUAAAGCUCUGUCAGCGGGGAAGAAAGAAAUGACGGUACCCGACCAAGAAGCACCGGCUAAAUACGUGCC
rnacentral:rRNA from 1 species